GAAGCGUGCCUGAAUGAAAGGACCACUUUGAUAGAGUGGAUAAUGAUGGUUAAAACCCAUCCUCUUCCUC
rnacentral:tRNA from 1 species